GACGAACGCUGGCGGCGUGCCUAAUACAUGCAAGUAGGACGCAGUAGCGAACGGGGGAGUAACGCGUAGGUAACUACCUAUUAGAGGGGGAUAACUAUUGGAAACGAUAGCUAAUACCGCAUACUAGUAGAUGGACCUGCGUUGUAUUAGCUAGUAGGUGGGGUAACGGCUCACCUAGGCUACGAUCCCUAGCUGGUCUGAGAGGAGGACCAUCCACACUGGAACUGGGACACGUUCCAGAGUCCUACGCGAGGCAGGAGUGGGGAAUCUUGCAAAAGGGGCGCCAGCCUGUGGCAGCCAUGCCGCGUGGAUGAAGAAGGCCUUCGGGUGGUACAGUACUUUCAGCGAGGAGGCGUUACUCGAAGGAGAGGCACCGGCUAACUCCGUGCCAGCAGCCGCGGUAAUAC
rnacentral:rRNA from 1 species